GAUUGGGGGUGCAGUGAGCCGGUUCCUGGAAAUAGCUCCACCAACAUUGACCGUACCCUAAACCGACACAGGUGGACUGGUAGAGUAUACCAAGGCGCUUGAGAGAACUAUACUGAAGGAACUCGGCAAAUUGCAUGCGUAACUUCGGGAUAAGCAUGGCUUCUAUCGGGGCAACCCUUUAGGAGUGGCACAAAAGAGGGGGUGGCGACUGUUUACUAAAAACACAGGGCUCUGCGAAGAUGCAAAUCGACGUAUAGGGUCUGACGCCUGCCCGGUGCCGGAAGGUUAAAUGGAGAGGUGAAAGCUUUGAAAUGAAGCCCCGGUAAACGGCGGCCGUAACAAUAACGGUCCUAAGGUAGCGAAAUUCCUUGUCGGGUAAGUUCCGACCUGCACGAAUGGCGUAACGACUUCCCCACUGUCUCCAGUAUAGACUCAGCGAAAUUGAAUUCCCCGUGAAGAUGCGGGGUUCCUGCGGUCAGACGGAAAGACCCCAUGCACCUUUACUAUAGCUUUACGCUGGCAUUUGUGUCGGCAUGUGCAGGAUAGGUGGUAGGCUUUGAAGCAGGGACGCUAGUUUCUGUGGAGCCGCAAGAUGAGAUACCACCCUUAUCGUCAUAGAUGUCUAACCGCGGCAUAACAGUGUCCGGGACAGCGUAUGGUGGGUAGUUUGACUGGGGCGGUCGCCUCCCAAAGAGUAACGGAGGCGCGCGAUGGUGGGCUCAGACCGGUCGGAAAUCGGUCGCUGAGUGCAAUGGCAUAAGCCUGCCUGACUGCGAGACUGACAAGUCGAGCAGAGACGAAAGUCGGUCAUAGUGAUCCGGUGGUCCCGCGUGGAAGGGCCAUCGCUCAACGAAUAAAAGGUACGCUGGGGAUAACAGGCUGAUAAUGCCCAAGAGUCCAUAUCGACGGCAUUGUUUGGCACCUCGAUGUCGGCUCAUCACAUCCUGGGGCUGGAGCAGGUCCCAAGGGUAUGGCUGUUCGCCAUUUAAAGUGGUACGUGAGCUGGGUUUAGAACGUCGUGAGACAGUUCGGUCCCUAUCUGCCGUGGGUGUAGGAAUAUUGAGAAGAGCUGACCCUAGUACGAGAGGACCGGGUUGGACGAAUCUCUGGUGGACCUGUUGUGGCGCCAGCCGCAUUGCAGGGUAGCUAAAUUCGGACGGGAUAACUGCUGAAAGCAUCUAAGCAGGAAGCCUCCUUCAAAACUAGUAUUCCCUUGAGAGCCGUGGAAGACCACCACGUCGAUAGGCCGGGUGUGGAAGCGUAGCAAUAUGUGAAGCUUACCGGUACUAAUAGCUCC
rnacentral:rRNA from 1 species